AGUGAACGCUGGCGGUAGGCCUAACACAUGCAAGUCGAACGGCAGCACAGUAAGAGCUUGCUCUUACUGUUGGCGAGUGGCGGAUGGGUGAGGAAUACAUCGCAAUCUACUUUUUCGUGGGGGAUAACGUAGGGAAACUUACGCUAAUAGCGCAUAUGACCUACGGCUGAAAGCAGGGGAGCUUCGGACUUUUCCUGAUUGUAUUAGCCGAUUCCGGGUUGCAUUAGCUAGUUGGUAAGGUAACGGCUCACCAAGGCGACGAUGCAUAGCUGAGCUGAGAGGAUGAUCGGCCACACUGGAACUGAGACACGGUCCAGACUCCUACGGGAGGCAGCAGUGGGGAAUAUUCGACAAUGGGCGCAAGCCUGAUCCAGCCAUACCGCGUGGGUGAAGAAGGCCUUCGGGUUGUAAAGCCCUUUUGUUGGGAAAGAAAAGCAGCAGGUUAAUACCCCGCUGUUCUGACGGUACCCAAAGAAUAAGCACCGGCUAACUUCGUG
rnacentral:rRNA from 1 species